AGUGAACGCUGGCGGUAGGCCUAACACAUGCAAGUCGAACGACCGCACAAUAAGCUCUCUCUUCUACGGUUGGCGACUGGCGGAUGGGUGACAAAUACAUCGCAAUCUACUUUUUCUUGGGGGACAACGUAGGGAAACUGCCGCUACUACCUCAUAUGACCUACGGGUUAAAUCAGUGGAUCAUCACACCUUUCCUGAUUCAAUUAGCCGAUGUCGGAUUAGCUAGUUGGCGGGGUAAAGUCCCACCAAGGCAACGAUCCGUAGCUGACCUGAGAGGAUGAUCAGCCACACUGGAACUGAGACACGGUCCAGACUCCUACGGGAGGCAGCAGUAGGGAAUCUUGGACAAUGGGCGAAAGCCUGAUCCAGCAAUGCCGCGUGAGUGAAGAAGGCCUUCGGGUUGUAAAGCUCUUUUAUUGGGAAAGAAAAGCAGCGGAUUAAUCCACCGCUGUUCUGACGGUACCCAAACAAUAAGCCCCGGCUAACUUCGUG
rnacentral:rRNA from 1 species